UACGAAGGGGGCUAGCGUUGUUCGGAAUUACUGGGCGUAAAGCGCGCGUAGGCGGACCUGCAAGUCGAGGGUGAAAGCCCGAGGCUCAACCUCGGAACUGCCUUCGAUACUGCGGGUCUCGAGUCCGGGAGAGGUGAGUGGAAUUCCUAGUGUAGAGGUGAAAUUCGUAGAUAUUAGGAAGAACACCAGUGGCGAAGGCGGCUCACUGGCCCGGUACUGACGCUGAGGCGCGAAAGCGUGGGGAGCAAACAGG
rnacentral:rRNA from 1 species